rnacentral:misc_RNA from 1 species
GAUGAAGAACGUAGCGAAAUGCGAUAAGUAAUGUGAAUUGCAGAAUUCAGUGAAUCAUCGGAUCUUUGAACGCACAUUGCGCCCCUUGGUAUUCCGGGGGGCAUGCCUCUUCCAGCGUCAUUUCACCCCUCAAGCUCUGCUUGGUUUUGGGCCGCGCCGGCAACGGCGGGCCUCGAAAAUAGUGGCGACGCCAUCGUGCUCUCAGCGUAGUAAUUCUUCUCGCUGUUGGGUCCCGGUGGUCGUCCGCCAGCAACCCCCAACUUUCUUAAGUUUGACCUGGGAUGAGGUAGGGAUACCCGCUGAACUUAAGCAUAUCAAUAAGCGGAGGA